GGGGGGAGCAAAUAGUAUGUAGGGACUUUGAAAAUUUUCUUAUGCUCACACAAAAUCUAUGCACACCGACACCCUUCAUCUCAUUCAAGCUAGUUGGUCACGUCAAUAACCAAGAACCGACCAUUUAUUUAGAAAACAAAAUGCUUGAAGCCAUUGUAAAGAAAAAUUUCAAAGUCCUUGCAUACUAUUUUGUCACCAGU
rnacentral:pre_miRNA from 1 species